GCCCAAUGAUGAGACCAAGGCGAAUACGAGCUGACUAAACAACAGCUGGCUGCUUCUUGCUUCAACUGGCGGGUAAUCUUGGCAGUGUAAGGGAGGCUUCUUGCGCUGCUGUAAGGGUCCGCCUAUAGUAACCAGGCUGCACCCUUGUGCCUCCUUUCAAGAUUACAUGGGAGUAAUCUUGGGUAUGUAGCCUACAGUGUCUGUGUGUGUGUUUUAUGUGUGUGUCUGUGUGUGUUGAGGCCUGAAGUUCCCCAGCUGUGUUCCCUGUUUAGUUGGCUAUGAGUUGCUUCUUUGGUAAUCUGAGGGCA